AGUGAACGCUGGCGGUAGGCCUAACACAUGCAAGUCGAACGGCAGCACAGUAAGAGCUUGCUCUUACGGGUGGCGAGUAGCGGACGGGUGAGGAAUACAUCGGAAUCUACUUUUUCGUGGGGGAUAACGUAGGGAAACUUACGCUAAUACCGCAUACGAUCUACGGGUGAAAUCAGGGGAUCUUCGGACCUUGCGCGAUUGAAUGAGCCGAUGCCGGAUUAGCUAGUUGGCGGGGUAAAGGCCCACCAAGGCGACGAUCCGUAGCUGGUCUGAGAGGAUGAUCAGCCACACUGGAACUGAGACACGGUCCAGACUCCUACGGGAGGCAGCAGUAGGGAAUAUUGGACAAAGGGCGAAAGCCUGAUCCAGCCAUGCCGCGUGGGUGAAGAAGGCCUUCGGGUUGUAAAGCCCUUUUGUUGGGGAAGAAAAGCAGCAGGUGAAACCCCCGAUGUUCUGACGGUACCCAACGAGUAAGCACCGGCUAACUUCGUG
rnacentral:rRNA from 1 species